rnacentral:siRNA from 1 species
GGUGUGAGUGUCGCCCAUGGGCA